rnacentral:rRNA from 1 species
GUGCCAGCAGCCGCGGUAAUACGUAGGUGGCAAGCGUUAUCCGGAAUUAUUGGGCGUAAAGCGCGCGUAGGCGGUUUUUUAAGUCUGAUGUGAAAGCCCACGGCUCAACCGUGGAGGGUCAUUGGAAACUGUAAAACUUGAGUGCAGAAGAGGAAAGUGGAAUUCCAUGUGUAGCGGUGAAAUGCGCAGAGAUAUGGAGGAACACCAGUGGCGAAGGCGACUUUCUGGUCUGUAACUGACGCUGAUGUGCGAAAGCGUGGGGAUCAAACAGGA